GACGGAAGGUGCAAGCGUUGCUCGGAAUCACUGGGCGUAAAGGGUGCGUAGGCGGCCUGGUAAGUCUGGCGUGAAAGCCCAGGGCUCAGCCCUGGAAGGGCGCUAGAAACUGCGAGGCUCGAGUGCCGGAGGGGAGAGUGGAAUUCCUGGUGUAGCGGUGAAAUGCGUAGAGAUCAUGAGGAAGACCAGUGGCGAAGGCGGGUCUCUGGACAGUUCCUGACACUGAGACACGAAGGCCAGGGGAGCAAACGGG
rnacentral:rRNA from 1 species